rnacentral:lncRNA from 1 species
AACACAGAGUGGGUUACAAUCACCAUUCUUUCAGCUCUGUAGGUCGUGGUGAUACAGGUAGGAAAAAGCCAGCUGGGUUAGGUUGAACUUGGAUGGAAAGUGAAGGCAGGCGGCUACAAGAUGGGGAGAAGGGUUUCUAAUGAACAUUGAGCCUGCAUGCUGUUAAAGCAGACUUUGCAUAAAGGCCAACUGAAAUAAGUGCAGAGAGCAAGCCUUAUACAAGCGAAGGGUUGCAUUUAACAGACAUGCAAUUGAGAAUCAAAAAAAGCCUGGAACCUAAAAAAUGUUAGGAGAGAAGAGUUUUGAGACUCUAAAUGCACAAAACACAGACACCUGGGAUUGUAAAUGAGCAGAGCUAAGUGGUGAAGCCAGGGACUGCGACCUAACAAGUCCAGGGCUACAAUAACAGGGACAGUGUUCAAGAUGGGCCCAAAACUCAUAAAGUGCUGACCCAAAGGAAUUUUGGGGAGGGAGGACACCUGGGCAGAUUCUAGCCAAAUGGGCAGAGUGAACUAAGCAAGAUGGGAUCACAGCAAGAUGACCGUUCAACAGUUUCUUUAUUCACCCUGUCCCGUGUUUUCAUACUUCAGCUGCACGAGACAGUCAACCCGGGUGACUGAGGACACCUAGGACACGUGUGCCUGAUCAUCUCCACAGUUUUGCUCAAGUGCUGUGCUGGCAGGGCUGGCUCUGCUUCUCACACGGGUCUGCCGAUCAGCCAUGGCGGCUCUGGUCACAGGCAGAGUGGACAGUGAGAGAGAAAGGUCUUCCUUUACCGUUGGUUCACCCUCCAAUGGCCGCCGCGGGCGGCGCACUGUGCUGAUCCAAAGCCAGGAGCCAGGUGCUUCUCCUGGUCUCCCAUGCGGGUGCAGGGCCCAAGAACCUGAGCCAUCCUCCACUGCACUCCUGGGCCACAUCAGAGAGCUGGCCUGGAAGAGGGGCAACUGGGACAGAAUCUGGCGCCCCAACCGGGACUAGAAUACUGGAAUACUGGGGAUACUUUAUUUAUCUUUAUUUAUAGCUAAGCAUUUAUACAUUGUCUACUACCGUGAGGAAAAAAAAUCAUAGUGAGGUACAACAAUAAUUACAAACCUCCACUAGCUUUUCCACACACUGGCACAAGUCUAGUAGAAUAAUCUGAGGAAGGUUUUCAGUUGACAAAAGCAGUCUUAUACAAUUCUUUCCUUUCCACUUCAUUAUACCACUUAUCACUUCAGCCCUACGAAUUAUUCACUUCCUAUCCCUACAUGAAACAGGAUCUAAUAAUCCAUCAGCAAUCGCUUCCAAUUCAUAUAAAAUUGCAUGUCACCCUUACAGUAGAAUGUAAUAUAUCCUAGCUCCUCUUAUUGUUUUUUUUUCCUCACCCUAGUCUUAUUUUCCCUUGACCUGCUGGGAGACCCUGACAAUAAUACCCCAGCAAACCCCCGUAUACCCUUCCCCAUACUAAACCAGAAUAGUCGAUCCACCUAUGCAAUCCUAUGAUCAAUCCCAAAUAAACUAGGCAGUGCCCUAACCCUAGUAGCCUCA